rnacentral:tRNA from 1 species
GGCGGCAUGGCCAAGUGGCUAAGGCGCUGGAUUGCAAAUCCAGGACCCCCGGUUCGAAUCCGGGUGCCGCCUCCA